UUACGGCCCUAUCACGUUUAAACACCGGUUCUCGUACGAUCAGCGAAGUUAAUCAAAUUCGAGUCUGCUCAGUGGCGAGAUGGAUGACCAUUUGGGAAUAGCAGAUGCAGUAA